UACGUAGGGUGCGAGCGUUGUCCGGAAUUAUUGGGCGUAAAGAGCUCGUAGGCGGUUUGUCGCGUCUGCUGUGAAAACUGGAGGCUCAACCUCGCGCCUGCAGUGGGUACGGGCAGACUAGAGUGUGGUAGGGGAGAUUGGAAUUCCGUGGUGUAGCGGUGAAAUGCGCAGAUAUCAGGAGGAACACCGGUGGCGAAGGCGGGAUCUCUGGGCCGAUGCUGACGCUGGAGGAGCGAAAGCGUGGGGAGCGAACAGGA
rnacentral:rRNA from 1 species